UACAUAUUUAUACUGAAUUUUGAUUACUGCUUUGAACUUGUUAACUAGAAGUAUUAGUUGUUCUUUAAACGUGAAUAAAACCAGACGUGGUCAUUUGAAGGUACAAAUAAUAUAAUAUAAAUCGAAAUUGAAAUCCGAUGAAUAUAUUUUAUUCACAAAAUAAUUAAUGUUCGAAGACAUGACUGUAUAUGGUAUUAUCGUUCAAAUAAUACUAGUUUGCAACUAAUAAUUUUAUCGCAGUAAUAGAUAAUUUCAAUUAAAUAUGACUUAGUAAAAUAAUAAAACCAAAAUGACGAUCAUAAAACAAUUGUUUCGUUUCAAAAUAAUUAAUUUAAGUAAGACGAUUAUUGAGAAUUGGAAAACAAUAGGAUAUUCUGCAAAUUUGUCCGUUACCAAAGCAAAUGACUGGAAUUUAUUAUGCUAUCAUAAGUUAAGUGUUCUUGUUACCAAAUAGCAAAAAGAAAAAAAAAAUAAAAAUAAAUUUGUUUAUUUAAAAUA